UUAAAAGUAAUAGAAAAAGUAGGAAAUAACUUAAACUAGAAAAUGACCAUAAAAAAGAAAGAAUUUCUGGCCGAAUUAUAGCGCUUAUAUUUGUUUCGUUGCAAGCCUAGAAACGAUAUAUUGUAUGCCCCAUAUGGACACCGGUAGUUCAAUUUAUGACCUCGCAAAAGUAUUCUACUCAUCCUAUACUCCGUUCUACAAUAUGCAAGAGAGGUAAGUAAAGUUGAAAUCAAUUGUUUUAUACUCUACCUCACGGGGGAAUUUGAACUUGGUUUGACUAGGCAAAAAAACCUACUUGAAGAGAAUUUGAACUUGAGUUAUUAGCUAAAUAAAACUACUUGAAAAUUACUAGACUCCUGGUGGCAAAUACCUCUUAGUGACCUCUCUAGCGAUAGCUCUUAACUUUAAAACAAUAACAGUUGUGAAACAUGCAUUACUGUUAAACUUGCAUGUUGAACAAGUAGAGUUUCAAUUUUAAUAUUAAGCUUAAAAUUGCUUUCAGAAUAACUUGUCAACAGGAUAUGAUUAAUACAUCGUCUUUAUACAAUAUGAAACUCUUUAAAAAUGCUUUCAGAAUGACAGAAUAAAUUAUUUGGCUUCUUUUUUUGGUUAUUUCUUGGGUACCUAAAGGGAAAACAGUACGACAUAAAUAAAAUGAGAAAAGUCCGAAGUCUCAUGAUCUGCUUCAGGAUUCAAGGUUUUCUAAAAAUGUGUGAAGUCAGGCAAACGUAACAUGCCUUACCCUUGACGAAAAAGCAAUGCUUAUAUAUAAAAUCUCACAAACAAAAAGAAAGUUGACCUAGAAAAAUAAAACACUGAUAAAUUUGCUGCAAUAGAAAAUAUCCCAUGUGCAAUAAUUAAUAAUACAUAAGAUUGAAAAAUAUAAGCAGUACGUCUUGAUUUUAUAAGUAUAAAACGUGUGAAGUGAAGGGGCAACUUCCAGGACUGCGAUUCUUUUAACAUAUCCUGCCUUAAAAGAAUAGGACAUAAACCACAGCUCAAACACAUCAUCAAUAAGGCAAAAAAUUAAGAAUGGGCAACAAAAGGGAACCCGCAAACCCUGUUGAACACAAGAGCUGAAACAUUGAUUAGAACAGAAUGCAUAACAGUAUAAAUCCAAUCCAUGAAAGAGGAGUGAAAUGCAAAACGGCACAAAACUUCAAGCAGAAAAUUCCAAUAAAUUUUAAGACAUAUAUUGCCACCACUAAUCUUCGGAUUAUCUAAGAGAUUCACCCCCUAAUGAGAGACUAAAACAAAUAUCCUCUUUUUUUUUUCCUUUUUUCUUUUAUUAAAAAGGUAUGAGAGUGAGUGAAUUAACCAAUCAAUCUUUUUAGUCCCUACCUCCCCGGCACUAGAAUUUGAGUAGCCAGCUAAAUAAAAUUGUUCAAAAAUCAGUCGAUCAAGCAACCUUGCAGCAGAAAUUAAAACAAUUACCCUCACAAAUGUGUGGAUACUCAAUAACUUCAAGGUGAUUUGGAGAAAAUAUAUGUUGUCAAUGCCAUUAAGGGCUUGUUUGCAAUUUUUUCUAGGAGGCUCAAAAGUGAUUUUGAAAAGUUAAAAUCUAAUUUGAGUGUCUGGUAAACUUUUUUAGAAAUCACUUUUGGCAAAAUCAUCGCAUCUUACUGCAGAUUUUGAGAAGUAGGGAAGGAGUAGCAUUUUGAGAAUCACUUUUAUGCUUAAUACAAUUCCAUAUAUAUCCUCAUAUAUAUUAUAAAAAUUCAGAGAUAAAAUCAUUAACUUUAGAGAGAUUAUUAUUAUUACCAAUUAUUUU
rnacentral:lncRNA from 1 species